CAAUAGCGUAUAUUAAAGCUGUUGCGGUUAAAAAGCUCGUAGUUGGAUUUCUGUCAAGGACAACUGGUCCGCCCUCCGGGUGAGCACAUAGUUUGGUCUUGACAUCUUGCUGGAAGCUGUUGCUGCACUUGGCUGUGUGGCGCAGUGUUCAGCACUUUCACUUUGAGGAAAUUGGAGUGUUUCAAGCAGGCACAUGCCUUUGGACACAGUAGCAUGGAAUAAUUAGAUUGGGCUUUUGCUCCAAUUUGUCGGUUCCUGGAGCUGAGGUGAGUAUUAAUGGGGAUUGUUGGGGGCAUCCGAGUUUAGCCGUCAGAGGUGAAAUUCUUGGAUCUGCUAAAGACGGACAACUGCGAAAGCGUUUGCCCAGGAUGUUUUCAUUGA
rnacentral:rRNA from 1 species